CAACUACUCCCUCUGUCCUAAAUUUCUUGUCUUAGAUUUGUCUAGAUACGGAUGUAUCUAAUACUAAAAUGUGACUUGAUACAUCCGUAUCUAGACAAAUCUAAUACAAGAAUUUUGGGACGGAGGGAGUACUUU
rnacentral:pre_miRNA from 1 species